UACGAAGGGGGCGAGCGUUGUUCGGAAUUACUGGGCGUAAAGGGCGCGUAGGCGGCCCCUUUUGUCGCGUGUGAAAGCCCCGGGCUCAACCUGGGAACGGCGCGCGAAACUGCGGAGCUGGAGUCCUGGAGAGGAAGGCGGAAUUCUCGGUGUAGAGGUGAAAUUCGUAGAUAUCGAGAGGAACACCGGUGGCGAAGGCGGUUCUCUGGGCCUUACCUGACGCUGAGGAGCGAAGGCGUGGGGAGCGAACGGG
rnacentral:rRNA from 1 species